rnacentral:rRNA from 1 species
UACGAAGGGGGCAAGCGUUGUUCGGAAUUACUGGGCGUAAAGCGCGCGUAGGCGGCGUGUUAAGUUAGGGGUGAAAUCCUGGAGCUCAACUCCAGAACUGCCCUUGAUACUGACGGGCUCGAGUGUGGCAGAGGUUGGUGGAACGUGGAGUGUAGAGGUGAAAUGCGUAGAUAUCAGGCAGAACACCAGUUGCGAAGGCGGAUAACUAGCCCGUUACUGACGCUGAGGUACGAAAGCGUGGGGAGCAAACAGG